CUGGCUAGUAAUGAGCAAGGAAGCACAUACUCCUCAAUUCUGUUGGCAGCCAUCCUGCGACCAUGAGGAAAGCCAACUUCAAAAUGAUAUUUUGAAUAAUCAAAAUAAUCAAGCAAAGAGUCAGAAAGAUACUAGAUUGUUGAUGAUUUACUGCAACGAGACACUGGAUCAAUCAAUAUCUUGAAAUCUGUCUUAAUCUCUGAAUUCUAGUUGGUCUACACUCCAUCCUCACGACACCAAGAUCAAGCCCAGAGCAGUUGCCCACUCUUCCUUGCCAAUGUGGAGGAAGCCCUGGAACCCCAACAUUGUGCUCCAGCCCAGGCUCCAUCCUUGGGGCACCCCCAUUCUCUCAGCAUGGAGCACCGAACAAUCCUAACCAGAUGCAAAAAUCAAUGGCAGAAGAAAAGACAUGAAAUACCAACUGAGUAUUACUCCCACCUUAAAAGACCACCAGAGACACUCCCAGAACUGAUGCUGUGCAGAACCAGCAUCGGCCCAAGGAAGCACACAGUAGCUCCAGCAGGCUGCUGUCUUCAGACAGAACAUUCUAGGUGUUCUUGCUUCAACCUUGGAAUUAACCAUUUCUCCAAGGAAACGUGGUUCCUUAUACUACUUUAA
rnacentral:lncRNA from 1 species